CUACGGGACGCUGCAGUGGGGAAUUUUGCGCAUUGGGGGGAACCCUGACGCAGCAAUACCGCGUGAGUGAAGAAGGCCUUUGGGUCGUAAAGCUCUUUUCUGAAGGAAGAUAGUGACGGUACUUCAGGAAUAAGCACCGGCUAACUCCGUGCCAGCAGCCGCGGUAAUACGGAGGGUGCGAGCGUUGUUCGGAUUUACUGGGCGUAAAGGGCACGUAGGCGGCCUGGCAAGUUAAGGGUGAAAUCCCGGGGCUUAACUCCGGAACUGCUCUUAAAACUGCCAAGCUAGAGAUAGUCAGAGGCGGGUGGAAUUCCUGGUGUAGAGGUGAUAUUCGUAGAUAUCAGGAGGAACACCGGUGGCGAAGGCGGCCCGCUGGGGCUAUUCUGACGCUAAGGUGCGAAAGCGUGGGGAGCGAACGGGAUUAGAUACCCGUGUAGUC
rnacentral:rRNA from 1 species